UGGUGGAGUGAUUUGUCUGGUUAAUUCCGUUAACGAACGAGACCUCGACCUGCUAAAUAGUGUGGCGAACCCCAUGGGUUCGGUUAUCACUUCUUAGAGGGACUAUCGGUGUGUAGCCGAUGGAAGUUCGAGGCAAUAACA
rnacentral:rRNA from 1 species